CCUACGGGCGGCUGCAGUAGGGAAUCUUCCACAAUGGACGAAAGUCUGAUGGAGCAACGCCGCGUGAGUGAAGAAGGGUUUCGGCUCGUAAAGCUCUGUUGGUAGUGAAGAAAGAUAGAGGUAGUAACUGGCCGUUAUUUGACGGUAAUUACUUAGAAAGUCACGGCUAACUACGUGCCAGCAGCCGCGGUAAUACGUAGGUGGCAAGCGUUGUCCGGAUUUAUUGGGCGUAAAGGGAGUGCAGGCGGUCCAAUCAGUCUGAUGUGAAAGCCGUCGGCUCAACCGGAGCAUUGCAUCAGGAACUGGUGAACUUGAGUGACGGAGAAGAGAGUGGAACGCCAUGUGUAGCGGUGGAAUGCGUAGAUAUAUGGAAGAACACCAGUGGCGAAGGCGGCUCUCUGGUCUGCAACUGACGCUGAGGCUCGAAAGCAUGGGUAGCGAACAGGAUUAGAUACCCGAGUAGUC
rnacentral:rRNA from 1 species